rnacentral:rRNA from 1 species
GACGAACGCUGGCGGCGUGCCUAACACAUGCAAGUCGAACGGAGUCAAAAAGCUUGCUUUUUGACUUAGUGGCGGACGGGUGAGUAACGCGUGAGUAACCUGCCUCUGAGAGGGGAAUAACGUUCUGAAAAGAACGCUAAUACCGCAUAACGUAUCGAAGCCGCAUGACUUUGAUACCAAAGAUUUUAUCGCUCGGAGAUGGACUCGCGUCCGAUUAGUUAGUUGGUGAGGUAACGGCUCACCAAGACCGCGAUCGGUAGCCGGACUGAGAGGUUGAUAGGCCACAUUGGGACUGAGACACGGCCCAGACUCCUACGGGAGGCAGCAGUGGGGGAUAUUGCGCAAUGGGGGCAACCCCGACGCAGCAACGCCGCGUGAAGGAUGAAGGUUUUCGGAUUGUAAACUUCUUUUAUCAGGGACGAAGCUUGACGGUACCUGAUGAAUAAGCUCCGGCUAACUACGUGCCAGCCGCCGCCGUAACAC